rnacentral:rRNA from 1 species
UGGGGAAUCUUCCACAAUGGACGAAAGUCUGAUGGAGCAACGCCGCGUGAGUGAAGAAGGGUUUCGGCUCGUAAAACACUGUUGUAAGAGAAGAAUGACAUUGAGAGUAACUGUUCAAUGUGUGACGGUAUCUUACCAGAAAGGAACGGCUAAAUACGUGCCAG